GAUGAAGAACGUAGCGAAAUGCGAUAAGUAGUGUGAAUUGCAGAAUUCAGUGAAUCAUCGAAUCUUUGAACGCACAUUGCGCCCCUUGGUAUUCCAUGGGGCAUGCCUGUUCGAGCGUCAUUUGUACCUUCAAGCUCUGCUUGGUGUUGGGUGUUUGUCUCGCCUCUGCGCGUAGACUCGCCUCAAAACAAUUGGCAGCCGGCGUAUUGAUUUCGGAGCGCAGUACAUCUCGCGCCUUGCACUCAUAACGACGACGUCCAAAAGUACAUUUUUACACUCUUGACCUCGGAUCAGGUAGGGAUACCCGCUGAACUUAAGCAUAUCAAUAAGGGAGGA
rnacentral:misc_RNA from 1 species